GUGACUUUGUGACGAGAAGCCAGCCUUUAUUAGAGAACCUAACUUCACAUCCUUCAAAUUCCGGAAUAGUAAUGCUAUACGUCAAGUUGGUAACGGGAUCAUAAAAUCUCCUCCUUGCCGAAACAAAAGCCAUGGAUAUGUGUACGGAACACCUUCUUUAUUCACCCUCCACUCCAGGGGAUGGAUCAAACUUCUCCAAAUUUUGGAUGCUGCUCGAUAAUUGAUUUGAGCGGC
rnacentral:lncRNA from 1 species